rnacentral:rRNA from 1 species
UACGAAGGGGGCUAGCGUUGCUCGGAAUCACUGGGCGUAAAGCGCACGUAGGCGGCUUCUAAGUCAGGGGUGAAAUCCUGGAGCUCAACUCCAGAACUGCCUUUGAUACUGGAGAGCUGAGUCCGGAAGAGGUGAGUGGAACUCGAGUGUAGAGGUGAAAUUCGUAGAUAUUCGCAAGAACACCAGUGGCGAAGGCGGCUUACCUGGCCCGGAACUGGACGCUGACGACGCGAAAGCGUGGGAGCAACAGGAGUUAAGC